CUUCCUCUAGAUCUGUGAGAAUAUAUUUAAAGCCCAGAAGACACGGUGUACGUCUUAAGAAAACUAUUACUCCAGCAUCCCUGCAUGGUUUUCUAGAAUAGCUCCAUGAAGAAGAAAGCAUAAGCACCAAGAAGCUUCAUAAAAAUAGACUCUACUUCCCACGGUGCAGCAGUAAAGAACUGGAUGAGUAUCCAUCCUCCUUCAAAGGAGUGGUACAAGAGCAAGAACAACCACAACAAUAAUGGAAACAGUGACAAGAAUAAUGACAGCUACCCCUGGGUGCGCAUACUCAUACACAGCUCUUUAUGCCAUCUUCCUGCAAACUCCACAAGACUUGGAAGGAUCCACUGCCUUGGAUUGGAGUUGCUACAGAACAGCGCAGAAAAUAAAGAAGUCAAUUCUAGGCUUUUGAGCUUCGAAAUGGAUUUUGAAGGUGGAUGCUUUGGGAUGUGGAAAACUCAAGGUUUUAUCUUCAAAAUCCUAACCUGGGGAGUUCCUGUCGUGGCGCAGUGGUUAAGGAAUCCGACUAGGAAACAUGAGGUUUGCAGGCUCGAUCCCUGGCCUUGCUCAGUGGGUUAAGGAUCCUGCCUUGCCAGUAAGCUGUGGUGUAGGUCACAGAUUCAGCUCAGAUCCUGCAUUGCUGUGGUGUAGGUCACAGAUUCAGCUCAGGAUCCUGCCUUGCCAGUAAGCUGUGGUGUAGGUCACAGAUUCAGCUCAGAUCCUGCAUUGCUCUGGCGUAGGCCAGCGGCUACAGCUCCAACUAGAC
rnacentral:lncRNA from 1 species